AAGAUGAAGGGAGAAGGAAUAGAGAAGGUGGUAAAACAGAAAAAUGCUAAGAAAACAAUAUUUAGGUUAAUUUUCCCUGCUGCCCUGUCUGUCUUUGUAGUAUUUGUCUUCCUUGACAGUGCUUUCAGUGUAUUUGGCGUGUUUAGGGAGUGUUGGAGUGUGUCUGGAGGUGUUUAGGGGGUGUUGGAGUGUGUGUUUUAGGGAUUUCGUGAUGUUUGAGUCAAUAUUUAGCGUUCCUGGUGUGUUUUCGGGUGUCUUAGGCUUGUUUAGGAGUGCUUUAAGUGUGCUUUGGACUGUUUUCAAUGUUUUGAGAUGUUUCAAGUGUAUUUUGGGAUAUUAUGGAUGAGUUUGGGUGUGUUUUGUGUGGAUACGGGUGAGUUGUGUCUGCGUUUGUGGGUAUUUUUGGGUAUUUUAGGUCAGUCUGGGUGUGUUUUGGGGUGUUUUAAGUGUGUUUUGGGCCGUUUUCAGCGUUUUGGGAUGUUUUAAGUGUGUUUUGGGAUGUUAUGGAUGAGUUUGAGUGUGUUUUGGGUUGGUACGGUGUGUUUUGGAUGCGUUUUAAGUCAAUUUAGGUGAGUUUUGGAGUAUUUUAAGUGUGUUUGGGGAUAUUUUGGUGCUUUUUCGAUGUGUUUAGGUUGUUUUUUUGUGCGUUUAGGAAUGUUCUGGGUAUGUUUAAGGUGUUUUAGUGUGAUUGGACUUGCUUUUGAGGUGUUUUGGUUAUGUUAUAGGCAUGUUGCAGGUAAGAAUGGGGUCUUUGAGGGUAGAAGUGGUGUGCUUGAGGUAAAAUAAAAGAUUCUGGAGUGUUUUUGAGAGGGGCUCUGAUAGUAGAAGCGUGUCAGGGGUGUUAUAGCGUAUGUUGUGAUAUAUGAAACUACUAGAUGCAAGUGUGUGACCACCACCACCACCAUCACCACCACCAGCACAGUGGAAAAAAGGUUAGAGACAAACGGGGAAAGUUGAAAAGUGAAUAAUUAAACGCUUGCUGUCUUUUAUUAUCUUGAGUAUAAAAUGGUUAUAUGACAAUCUCUCUCUCUCUCUCUCUCUCUCUCUCUCUCUCUCUCUCUCUCUCUCUCUCUCUCUCUCUCUCUCUCUCUCUCUCUCUCUCUCUCUCUCUCUCUCUCUCUCUCUCAGCUUUGUAUUAGUAACCCCGUUGACAGAAGUGACUCCCGCGUUUUCUCUUCUCAGAUGUAAACAAAGCGGUAGAUUCCUUCCAGCUGGUGAUAAAACUUCCUCUCGCUCUCCCUCACUCUCCCACGUCACGGAAGUAGUGUUAUAAAGCACACGAGGAGGAAAGCAAUGGCAACCCUCCGAUCCGGCAAGCAGGUUGGCGGCAGCGAUGGCGGUGGCAGUGGCAGCGGUGGUGAGGUGGACGGCAGGGACAGAGGGGCAGUACAGGCUGCGGACAUCAAAGAGAAGAGGAACGCGCGGACAAGCAAGGUGGUAUUCGGCAGUCUGAUCCUGGACCUGCUCGGCUUCACGGUGGUGGUGCCUCUGUCUUCUGCUCUCCUCGACUGUUACUCCAAGCACGACUCCAGCGGCUUGUAUUCCUCUCUGCUCUCCUGUGUUACUUAUUACCAGCAUAUCAUCAGCGUUCCUGCGAGGCACUGAUUGGCGUGACAUUCAGCAUAGGCUUCACCGUCGGGCACACUGUGGGGGCUGCGUUCUCCCGCUGGGGAAGUACUGGGUGGUUCGCGGCCUCGGCUGUCUACGCACGCACUCUCACUGUGGCUAACAUAAUAUUCUUUGCUGUCUUCCAGGAAUCGCUGCCUGAGGGCAGAAGGAGGAGGGACAUCGGUGCCAGUUUGACCGAGGCUUGGGAGGUGAUCAAUCCUAGGGCUCUGUUCUCCGUCAGCUGUGUCAAGGGCCUGGGCAGAGAAGCCUGGAGUUAACGCUGAUCUUCGCGACCCACCACAAGCAUAGUUACGACUCGUUGGCGCAGGACCGCAAGUUUUCCUUCCUGGGCCUGGUCAUGGCAAUUACACAGAGAGGGUUUAUGCGAAGUGUUAAGACUGGAACUGAAAAAGCAACUGCCAAUUAGGCACACACCUACAUUGUGAUGCAGCUCCUUGGAGGUGGAGAGCUGGCUGCCUCAGAGGAUCAGGAAACACGAGAGGUUCACAGAGGCUCGCCUCGGGCUUCCGUCGUCGUGAGGAACCUGGUGUCAGCAGUUCACUACGUGCACAGGAAAAGCAUCAGUGUUCACGGAGACCUAAAGCCAGACAGGGGUGAAAAGGGUUGGUGUUGAGGAUAGACAGAAAAGAAAAGAAAGGAAAGGUAAAAAAAGGAAUUUUUUUUGCAUUGAUUUUCCAUCUGCUUAUUUUAAAGAAUUUAUUGCAUGGAAUAUUAUUGAUCUCCAUCAUUUGUAUGGCCUUUAUAAUAAAAAGUAUGAAUUUA